AUUGAACGCUGGCGGCAGGCCUAACACAUGCAAGUCGAGCGAGCGGCGGACGGGUGAGUAAUGUAUGGGGACUGCCCGAUAGAGGGGGAUAACUACUGGAAACGGUAGCUAAUACCGCAUACUAUCGGAUAACACAUAUGGGAUAAGCUAGUAGGUGAGGUAAGGGCCCACCUAGGCGACGAUCCCUAGCUGGACUGGGAGGAUGAUCAGCAACACUGGGACUGGGACACGGCCCAGACUCCUACGGAGGCAGAAGUGGGGAAUAUUGCACAAUGGGCGAAAGCCUGAUGCAGCCAUGCCGCGUGUAUGAAGAAGGCCUUAGGGUUGUAAAGUACUUUCAGUCGGGAGGCGUUACCGACAGAAGAAGCACCGGCUAACUCCGUGCCAGCAGCCGCGGUAAUAC
rnacentral:rRNA from 1 species